rnacentral:rRNA from 1 species
AGAGUUUGAUCCUGGCUCAGGACGAACGCUGGCGGCGUGCUUAACACAUGCAAGUCAUGGGAGAAAGGGGUAGCAAUAUCCCGAGUACAUCGGCGCAAGGGUGAGUAACGCGUAGGCAAUCUACCUCAAGGAUGGGAACAACCCCGAGAAAUCGAGGCUAAUACCCAAUAUUGUCCGGACCCAGCAUUGGGAUCGGAUGAAAUGCCGCAAGGCGCCUUAAGAUGAGCCUGCGUCCCAUUAGGUAGUUGGCGGGGUAACGGCCCACCAAGCCUUCGAUGGGUAGCUGGUCUGAGAGGACGAUCAGCCACACUGGAACUGAGACACGGUCCAGACUCCUACGGGAGGCAGCAGUGAGGAAUAUUGCGCAAUGCCCGAAAGGGUGACGCAGCGACGCCGCGUGGAGGAUGAAGGCCCUCUGGGUCGUAAACUCCUUUGGUAGGGGAAUAACAGGUCGCUACAGGCGGCCGUGAAUGUACCCUAAGAACAAGCAUCGGCUAACUACGUGCCAGCAGCCGCGGUAAUACGUAGGAUGCGAGCGUUGUCCGGAUUUACUGGGUGUAAAGGGAGCGCAGGCGGAUCUGUAAGUCGGUGGUGAAAUCCUCAGGCUCAACCUGGGAACUGCCACCGAAACUGCUGAUCUUGAGUGUGGAAGAGGUCGAUGGAAUUCCUGGUGUAGCAGUGAAAUGCGUAGAUAUCAGGAAGAACACCGAUGGCGAAGGCAGUCGACUGGUCCACAACUGACGCUCAUGCUCGAAAGCGUGGGGAUCAAACAGGAUUAGAUACCCUGGUUGUCCACGCCCUAAACGAUGGAUGCUCGAUGUCGGCUCGCAAGGGUCGGUGUCUAAGCUAACGCAUUAAGCAUCCCACCUGGGAAGUACGAUCGCAAGGUUGAAACUCAAAGGAAUUGACGGGGGCCCGCACAAGCAGUGGAGCAUGUGGUUUAAUUCGAUGCAACGCGAAGAACCUUACCUGGGUUUGAAAGGCUCUGUAAACCGGUGAAAGCCGGCUAGUGUAGCAAUACACGCGGAGUACAGGUGCUGCAUGGCUGUCGUCAGCUCGUGCCGUGAGGUGUUAGGUUAAGUCCUGCAACGAGCGCAACCCCUGCACUUAGUUGCCAUCAGGUCAAGCUGGGCACUCUAGGUGGACUGCCUGCGCAAGCAGCGAGGAAGGCGGGGAUGACGUCAAGUCCUCAUGGCCCUUACACCCAGGGCUACACACGUGCUACAAUGGCCGCUACAACGGGUUGCAAGAGGGUAACCUGGAGCUAAUCCCUGAAAAGCGGCCUCAGUUCGGAUUGUGGGCUGCAACUCGCCCACAUGAAGCUGGAAUUGCUAGUAAUCGCGGAUCAGCUAUGCCGCGGUGAAUACGUUCCCGGGCCUUGUACACACCGCCCGUCAAGCCAUGGAAGCUGGGGGUGCCCGAAGCCGUCGUGCCAACCGCAAGGAGGCAGGCGUCUAAGGUAAAACCAGUGACUGGGGCUAAGUCGUAACAAGGUAAC